GUUAGGCAGUUUGGAAACUCACUCGAUUAUAAAUAUUGUUUUUCUCAGUGUUCAGGCCACGGUAGAAGAAAGGAGCAAGAGCACUACAGUUUCCCCUCUGGCUGCCAGCAAACCACCUUAGGAUUCAUUCUGAAUGUUUCAGAACUCCUUGACCUGGAAUCUGCAGCUGGUGGAGAACCUGCCUCUCAUUUGUACUUCUGGAGACCAAUGAGCUGUUCACUUCUGCUGUGCUGCAAGGCUUAUUCACUUUAUGGUCAAUUCUCAAAUGUCUGUGAGAAGAUUAUCUGGGUUAUGUAUUAUAUGUGUCAUGCUUAAAAAAAUCCUUUUCUGACCUCAUUCCAUGCUUAUAGUCUCGUUCUUAAAAGGUAAAUAAACUAAACAGAAUGUGCUAGCA
rnacentral:lncRNA from 1 species